rnacentral:miRNA from 10 species
AACAUACUAGGUUGGUGCAAAAGUUAUUGUGGUUUUUGCCAUUAAAAGUAAACAUCAAAAACUGCAAUUACUUUUGCAUCAACUGAAUAAUUCAAUGU